UUUCAAUUUUCAACUAUCUGUUCGUUUUCUGUGACUUAGUAAAGAUUUGAAAUUAAAAUCAAUAUUUGUUCGGUUUUUCAGCAGUAGCACUUUUAUUUGCCAGUAAAUAAUGAUAAUAUUGGACCCCAUCGAUAAUACUGUCACCGAUAAUGAGACAUAAAUAACUCUGGCUCUAAUUUUUUUUUAUUAUUAUAUGGACAAUCGAUUCUUAAUCUACCUGUUUGGAAACAAAUAUACCUUACAUAACCGUCAUCCGUUCACAUGUAUUAUCAGUAGACUGCGAUGUGGACGAUUUUGCCUUAAACCACUUUUACGGUAUGAUUAUAAUAUAGCGUUAAUAUUAUUAUCACAGUAUCAUUAUACUAUGGUAUGAGUAAAACUUAAAUUGUCAAACGACAAACAACGUGUACUCGUGAUUUGUGAACAGUUUUUUUUAUAUAUAAAGAAGAAACUAGUAUUGUGUUUUAAAAUGUCUAAUUGUGCAGGACAUUUUUUAAGAAGAUUACUGGAAAGAUAAUGAUGUGUUGAAACCUUAAUGUACAAUUUGUCACUGAUUACAAUAGUCAGUAUUGGUUUAUCAAGCUACAUAUCAAUAUGUCAUUUAUGAUUAUUCAGUUACUAGUUAGAUGAAGAAAAUAUUGCUUUCUACUUGGAAUCUUAGAAGAAUAAAAUAUUAGCAUUUAACACAACCAUACUCAACCAGCGGCCCCUGGGCUGCAUACAGCCCGCCGAUUAUUUUUAUGUGGCCCAAAAAGAACUCAUUAUAAAUAUUUAAAGGCUAUAAAAAAAAAAAAAUAUUAAUAUAAAAUAUAACAAAACAAUUAUAUUUUCAAGAUGUGUAACGUUCGAGAUUGCAAUAAGGAUGUUAAAUUUUAACAUCAUAAUUAUUUGUCUCGAAUAAUAACUUGUAUAAGCAUUUUUAUUAGUACCAUUUAAUGUUAAAAAUAUUAGUUUCUUUUAGUCAAGUCACUCUAUAAUUAUAGUUGACUAUUCAUUUUUUUAA